rnacentral:rRNA from 1 species
AACGAACGCUGGCGGCAGGCUUAACACAUGCAAGUCGAACGCCCCGCAAGGGGAGUGGCAGACGGGUGAGUAACGCGUGGGAACCUACCUUUCGGUACGGAAUAACUCGGGGAAACUCGUGCUAAUACCGUAUAUUCCGGUAACGGGAAAGAUUUAUCGCCGAAAGACGGGCCCGCGUUGGAGUAGCUAGUUGGUGGGGUAAUGGCCUACCAAGGCGACGAUCUAUAGCUGGUCUGAGAGGAUGAUCAGCCACACUGGGACUGAGACACGGCCCAGACUCCUACGGGAGGCAGCAGUGGGGAAUCUUGGACAAUGGGGGAAACCCUGAUCCAGCCAUGCCGCGUGAGUGAUGACGGCCUUAGGGUUGUAAAGCUCUUUUGCUAGGGAACAAUAUUUUGAGCGUACCUAGAGAAUAAGAGGUUGCUAACUCUGUGCCAGCAGCCGCCGUAA